rnacentral:tRNA from 1 species
GGAAGCGGAUGCUGUCUGGUGGCGGUCCCGGCCUUCAAAGCCGUGUGGGGGGCAGUCGUACUGUCCCCGGUGGGUUCGAUUCCCACCCCUUCCGCCA